GUGGAUGAGUAGAAGUCAUGUCUACUGAUAAGUAGUACUGAUGUGAUGGUACUCGUUUUCUGGCUUCCUGAUUUCGUGUACCUCACCAACGUUAUUAACCACGAAUCCCAUUAUUCUUGCAUGUGUGGGGCUGAACCAUCCUUAAUUUUCUAGCGUUUCGUGCACAAUGAGUUGAAGAUGAAUAAGUCACAAAAUUUCUGUCCCGAAUAGUUGAAGAACAAUCAAUUUUGUUUCUUGCAUAAGACCAAGACUUGGUAAGGUCAACUCACCAGAGUCCAGUAUGGAAUUUUCCAGUCUUCCCACUUGCUAGAAAAUUAUCAAAUGGAGGACAAAGACUCUGUCCCUUGAAGAGUUUCGCCCAUAAGUCAUGACUACUGGUCGAUUGCUCAUACUUAGGAAUUUAGCUGGAGGCCUUCGAACAAAGUUUUUUUAAAAUACUGUUUAACGUCCAAAUGUGAAAACUCAUCAUUUUGAUUAAUCCUUGAACUUUGGCGAAUUA
rnacentral:lncRNA from 1 species